UAUGGCGACCGGCGCACGGGUGAGUAACACGUAUCCAACCUGCCGAUGACUCGAGGAUAGCCUUUCGAAAGAAAGAUUAAUACCCGAUGGCAUAGUUCUUCCGCAUGGUAGAACUAUUAAAGAAUUUCGGUCAUCGAUGGGGAUGCGUUCCAUUAGGUUGUUGGCGGGGUAACGGCCCACCAAGCCUUCGAUGGAUAGGGGUUCUGAGAGGAAGGUCCCCCACAUUGGAACUGAGACACGGUCCAA
rnacentral:rRNA from 1 species